AGGACGAACGCUGGCGGCGUGCCUAAUGCAUGCAAGUCGAGCGACGAAUAGGUGCGGGUAACCAAGCCUAUUACGGAGCGGCGAACGGGUGAGUAACACGUGAGCAACCUGCCCCGAAGACCGGGAUAGCCCAGGGAAACUUGGAUUAAUACCGGAUAUCCUCCUUUGAUCGCAUGGUCGUUGGAAGAAAUGCUUUUACGCUUCGGGGAUGGGCUCGCGGCCUAUCAGCUUGUUGGUGGGGUAACGGCCUACCAAGGCGUCGACGGGUAGCUGGUCUGAGAGGACGAUCAGCCACACUGGGACUGAGACACGGCCCAGA
rnacentral:rRNA from 1 species